CAGCUGCGCUAUCGACGCCUCGGGAGCCUUUCAAGUGUAUCAUACGGGGAUUUUCGCGGAGUCUAAAUCGAUCAUCUCUCCUAACCAUACUGUGACCGUCUCUGGUUGGGGUGUCGAGAAAGGCGUAGAGUUCUGGAUCGCCAGGAAUUCUUGGGGAAGCUCUUGGGGGGAAUCUGGCUGGUUCAGAAUCGUCACCAGCAAAUACAAGGGAGGUAAAGGCGAUAAUUACAACCUGGGAAUCGAGGGCAAAUGCCACUACAGUGACGUCAUUGUUUAGUAACACGCAACACCAACAGCCUGGGAAGUCGGAGGGUGGGCUUCCUCUUUCUGCCCCAUUAUGCUCAAUCCUCUUCCCAUAUGAAUAGAGUUGUUUUGUUAAAA